UACGUAGGGUGCAAGCGUUGUCCGGAAUUAUUGGGCGUAAAGAGCUCGUAGGUGGCCUGUCGCGUCGGCUGUGAAAACUCGGGGCUCAACUCCGAGCUUGCAGUCGAUACGGGCAGGCUAGAGUUCGGCAGGGGAGACUGGAAUUCCUGGUGUAGCGGUGAAAUGCGCAGAUAUCAGGAGGAACACCGGUGGCGAAGGCGGGUCUCUGGGCCGAUACUGACACUGAGACGCGAAAGCGUGGGGAGCAAACAGG
rnacentral:rRNA from 1 species